AUAUAUAGACAUGGCCAACACGGGUCAAAGUGCAGUAUCUGUUCUUAUCAGCUUAAUAUCUGAUACAGGUUGUAUUUGGACGCGAGAUAUUAUACCUAUUUUUGCAAGUUGGCGGAGUGCUUGAAGCCUGCGUUACCUCCGCCGCAAGUGGGCCUGGUAUUGUGCUAUCUUAUGGAUCGGCCCACGGGUU